rnacentral:rRNA from 1 species
CGCCUCUUGCACAACUAUAAGAGGUCCAGCCUGCCCAGUGACUCUGUUCAACGGCCGCGGUAUCCUAACCGUGCGAAGGUAGCGCAAUCACUUGUUCUUUAAAUAAGGACUAGUAUGAAUGGCAUCACGAAGGUUAUACUGUCUCCUUUCUCUAAUCAGUGAAACUAAUCUUCCCGUGAAAAAGCGGGAAUAACAAUAUAAGACGAGAAGACCCUAUGGAGCUUUAAACUAAGUAGCAAAUAUCUUUUACCUAUAACCUCAAGAACAAUCAAAAUCAACCAGAUAUUAUGACUACCAGUUUUAGGUUGGGGUGACCAUGGAGUACAAUUCAACCUCCAUGCUGAAUGACUUAAAAUCUAAGCCACGAACAACAUUUCUAAGCAUCAACAUCUUGACAUCUAUUGACCCAAUUUUUGAUCAACGAACCAAGUUACCCUAGGGAUAACAGCGCAAUCCACUUCAAGAGCUCAUAUCGACAAGUGGGUUUACGACCUCGAUGUUGGAUCAGGGUGUCCUAGUGGUGCAGCCGCUACUAAAGG